GUGGACCUACGAAGGAAGUCGGGUAUCGGUUCCUGGUGACAUCGGGUAACGGUUCUUCGUAAAUACCCGAUAGCUAAUCCAGAUUUCAUUGUUCCAGAAUCCAGAUCAAUCACAGUUCAAUUUCGUUCCAUAAUCCAGUUAUGGCUAUCUUCUUCUAUAUUUCAAGGUUGAUAUAUGUUGCUUUGACAAGACGGGAACAUUGACAUCUGAUGACAUGGUAUGUCAGUUACAACUUACAAGUUUGGCAGACAGUGGCGGAAUUUUUAGCGGUGUCUAGAAUAUACUAACAACCAACUCUUAAUAAUAUUUGGCGGUGUCUUAUGAGUCUAGAUAAGUAUUUUCAGAUUGAUGGUUGUUAUACAGUCGUCAACAUAUGUCUUUAAAAAAUGAACUUUGAUGUACUAUUUGUAUAUUAUAACAUCUUACCUUGGUUUUUUAUUCAUUAUUUUUUUU
rnacentral:lncRNA from 1 species